GACGAACGCUGGCGGCGUGCCUAAUACAUGCAAGUAGAACGCUGAAGGAGGAGCUUGCUUCUCUGGAUGAGUUGCGAACGGGUGAGUAACGCGUAGGUAACCUGCCUGGUAGCGGGGGAUAACUAUUGGAAACGAUAGCUAAUACCGCAUAAGAGUAGAUGUUGCAUGACAUUUACUUAAAAGGUGCAAUUGCAUCACUACCAGAUGGACCUGCGUUGUAUUAGCUAGUUGGUGAGGUAACGGCUCACCAAGGCAACGAUACAUAGCCGACCUGAGAGGGUGAGCGGCCACACUGGGACUGGGACACGGCCCAGACUCCUACGGGAGGCAGCAGUAGGGAAUCUUCGGCAAUGGACGGAAGUCUGACCGAGCAACGCCGCGUGAGUGAAGAAGGUUUUCGGAUCGUAAAGCUCUGUUGUAAGAGAAGGACGAGUGUGAGAGUGGAAAGUUCACACUGUGACGGUAUCUUACCAGAAAGGGACGGCUAACUACGUG
rnacentral:rRNA from 1 species